GCCAUAAAACGCUGGCAGAAGGGAAGUGCUGUCAUCAAAUGUCACAAUGGUGUGAAGUCUGGUUUGGAGCUGAAUAAUGGCACAGUGGUUUCUGUUAACCCUGCAGCAGCUCAGAACAGAUGUACCGAGCUUUCCAUUGGCACCGGCACUGUUGGUUAGCGGGUUGUUCCUGGCCCUGGCUGUCCUGGUGCGAGGAGGUCGGGCACAGAGCCCCUCUGGCAGUGCUGAGUUAAACCCAUGUUUGGGUGAUUGGGCUUCUCUGAUAGCAAACACACAUCAUAAAAAGCUGUGAAUGGCCUGACCCGUUGUGCUGUGUCAGAUUCCCUGUAGUCAUCUUCCCCAAAAGGACUCCUUUACUCUGUCCUGCUGAAGGUAUGAAGUCUGAUAAAAGUGUGUCCUGGUGUGGCUCACAUGUGUGACAGCUCCUGUUCCUGCACUCCCUGCAGUGCAGGAACUCCCUCCUUGGCAGUGCAAAGCAAUUCUCUUACCAGCAUCAUAACAGAGCAUGAAACCCUAAAAAAUGGGCUGAGUCAGGUGCUUGGUCAGUUCAGUCCAGAAUGUGAGCUGCCUUGUUCUGGCUGCCUUGCUCUUCAAAGAGAGGGGACAGAGCAGCUGCAGCCUGCACAGGGAAGCCUCUGGCAUCCAGGCACCCACUGCACCAUGACUUCUGACAGAUUGCUGAGUGACUGCUGGGAGGGGUGUGAAUAGAGGUGCUAAAUAAAAUAACAGGUCAGCAGCCCGUUGUUUCUGGUUGUGACUGGUUUGUGUUAUUUGGACAUGCAGGAAAAGCAUGGAGGAAAUGUUCUCUGUUAGAGACCUGCAUGGCUAGGCAGUAACAAAAGGUGAUGGGAAGUUCAAGCUUGGGGUCCCUUGGCAAAGGAGAGGCUGGGGAGUGAUGUGGCAGGGCUGGAGUUCCAAAGGGAGAGGGAGUCUGGCCCCUCCUCUUCUACGGCUGAGGAGAUGCUGGUCAUACAUGGGAGUAAUUUUUAGUGGCAGUGGCAGCACUAACUGGACAAAGGCUGUCAGGGUAAAGGGAGGGAGAAAGGAGAGCGUGGCUGUAAAAUUAUUCCCAGUUUGUUGUAAGGAAACAUUGGAAUCUGCUCUACCUGUCAGCAAAGCCAUAAAAGAAGAGAUGAAACACCUUAUUACAGAUUAUAUAGCUCUCUGAGUUUUUAUGGUUUCCUGACAGCCAAACACCCAAUGAAGGGGUUUUUCCUCUCCUCCAAUGUACAGGAGAUGGUUUAUAGUCCAGCCUUCUUUCCUCCCUUAUGCUUUUAUCUCUCCAUACUUGUUAUGUCCUCCCCAAAGCUUUCCCUUUUCCCUCUCUGCUUCCAUGUAAAUGAGUCAGCAACAUUUUCUGCUAAAUAUUCUAAUAAUUAUCCUACUUUCUCUGUUUUUAAAACCAAUAAGAAAUAUGGUGCUCUUUUGAAGUAGGUGUAUGUAGGCUGGUGAGAGGUUUGAGCCAUGCACAGCUCUACCUGCCACCACAGCUUGUAGAAAAACAGAAACAAAUCAUUAUUUCUUUGCUGCCACUGAUCAUGGGGCCUCAUCUGUGUGCUCUCCUUAUGGAUGAACUCUUUGGUAAUAAAUAUAUCACUUUGACAAGGUCAUCUCACCCUAACAGGAACAUUUUGCAGCUCCCAGCAAAGGGACAAAAGAGUGAAGGGAGCUGUCAGAGCUUUGCAUCCUGCUGCCUUUCUGUACUGAGACUCCCCAGCCUUAACUGACAAUUUCCACUUGCACUUAGAACUUCCAUCAGCCUUUCCUCCGUGGAGCUCUUGGUGGUGAUUAGGGGUAAAUCACUUUAUCCAAGACAACAUCUGUCCUCUCUGGCAGGAAAACCCACCCUCAGAUCCCAAAGGUGAUUCCAGGGGCUCCCAGGUGUGUGUGGCAGCCCUGCCACUGCCAUCCAUGCCUUGCCUCCUCACAAGGGACUGCUGAUUGUCCCAAGGCAGAAGUGGGAGCAGAGCAUCCUCAGCUGUGCUGUGCCAUUGGCAGCUGGCCACUUGGAGACAUCUGGCCUGGAGCAGGGACAGGAAUUGCCUGUGAUUCCACCCCCCGUCUGUGCCACUGAUUGUGAGCUCCACAAAUGCCACUUGAAGUUCGGGGCCAGCUGCUGAGCUCUGCUGCUGGCCCUUGCUGAGGGUGUUGUGCUGCCGUGGGCAGGAACGUUUCCCUUUUGAUGACAGAGAGGCACUACCUCAAAUAAAACCAACUAUUUUUUAAAAAAGCUGAAUAGUAGAGUACUGGGAAGUUAUUGUAUCAGGGCUAGCUGUCAAGUGGCUUAAUGUAAGGCAGUUUGGAAUAUAACAUAAACACUAAUGGAUGGGAAGGUGGGGCUUGUGUGCCUGAAGUCUGAGAAUCCUUGAGUUGCCUGAAGCAAAACUCUUCAAACUUACUUGUGGGAACUCAGUACAUCACUCCGGAUGUCCAGAGCUACCGAGACAACCCUUGGGGGGCUCGGAGGCCCUGGAAUGUUGCCAAAAGUACCUGGUGGCUUGACUUUGAUCCUUUUAAAGAAAUGACACCUGAAGGUGAGGAGAUGAGAGAAUUUCAGGUCUGAAUGGUGAGGGGAUGUUAUUCACUUGUUAGAACUUAAGUUAGAAUGCACUGUACAGGGGGGUUUUAUGUGUUGUACAGGGGGGUCUAGAAUUCUGUGCAUGGAUCAGGAGUCCCAAGAUGGAGGAAUUUGGGCGUGCCCCGUCCUUCUUCUUUCUUCUCCUUGGCAUCUAUGUUCAGGAUGAUGUUGGCAUGUGUGGAUUGGUUCAUAGAAAGAGUACACUUGCCAACAAGGGCAGAAAGUAUUGGGAAGUAAAGGUAAAUAUCGAAUACGUAGUUUUCACUAUAAAAGAGACAACCGCCUCGUGGGCGGGAGAG